GGUUAAGCGACUAAGCGUACACGGUGGAUGCCCUGGCAGUCAGAGGCGAUGAAGGGCGUGCUAAUCUGCGAUAAGCGCCGGUAAGGUGAUAUGAACCGUUAUAACCGGCGAUACCCGAAUGGGGAAACCCAGUGUGAUUCGUCACACUAUCAUUAACUGAAUCCAUAGGUUAAUGAGGCGAACCGGGGGAACUGAAACAUCUAAGUACCCCGAGGAAAAGAAAUCAACCGAGAUUCCCCCAGUAGCGGCGAGCGAACGGGGAGGAGCCCAGAGCCUGAAUCAGCAUGUGUGUUAGUGGAAGCGUCUGGAAAGGCGCGCGAUACAGGGUGACAGCCCCGUACACAAAAGCGCAUGUGCUGUGAGCUCGAUGAGUAGGGCGGGACACGUGAUAUCCUGUCUGAAUAUGGGGGGACCAUCCUCCAAGGCUAAAUACUCCUGACUGACCGAUAGUGAACCAGUACCGUGAGGGAAAGGCGAAAAGAACCCCGGCGAGGGGAGUGAAAAAGAACCUGAAACCGUGUACGUACAAGCAGUGGGAGCACCCUUUUGGGUGUGACUGCGUACCUUUUGUAUAAUGGGUCAGCGACUUAUAUUCUGUAGCAAGGUUAACCGAAUAGGGGAGCCGGAGGGAAACCGAGUCUUAACCGGGCGUUAAGUUGCAGGGUAUAGACCCGAAACCCGGUGAUCUAGCCAUGGGCAGGUUGAAGGUUGGGUAACACUAACUGGAGGACCGAACCGACUAAUGUUGAAAAAUUAGCGGAUGACCUGUGGCUGGGGGUGAAAGGCCAAUCAAACCGGGAGAUAGCUGGUUCUCCCCGAAAGCUAUUUAGGUAGCGCCUCGUGAAUUCAUCUCCGGGGGUAGAGCACUGUUUCGGCUAGGGGGCCAUCCCGGCUUACCAACCCGAUGCAAACUGCGAAUACCGGAGAAUGUUAUCACGGGAGACACACGGCGGGUGCUAACGUCCGUCGUGAAGAGGGAAACAACCCAGACCGCCAGCUAAGGUCCCAAAGUCAUGGUUAAGUGGGAAACGAUGUGGGAAGGCCCAGACAGCCAGGAUGUUGGCUUAGAAGCAGCCAUCAUUUAAAGAAAGCGUAAUAGCUCACUGGUCGAGUCGGCCUGCGCGGAAGAUGUAACGGGGCUAAACUAUGCACCGAAGCUGCGGCAGCGACACUAUGUGUUGUUGGGUAGGGGAGCGUUCUGUAAGCCUGUGAAGGUGUGUCGUGAGGCAUGCUGGAGGUAUCAGAAGUGCGAAUGCUGACAUAAGUAACGAUAAAGCGGGUGAAAAGCCCGCUCGCCGGAAGACCAAGGGUUCCUGUCCAACGUUAAUCGGGGCAGGGUGAGUCGACCCCUAAGGCGAGGCCGAAAGGCGUAGUCGAUGGGAAACGGGUUAAUAUUCCCGUACUUGGUGUUACUGCGAAGGGGGGACGGAGAAGGCUAUGUUGGCCGGGCGACGGUUGUCCCGGUUUAAGCGUGUAGGUGUGUGUUCCAGGUAAAUCCGGUUCACUUUAACACUGAGGCGUGAUGACGAGGCACUACGGUGCUGAAGCAACAAAUGCCCUGCUUCCAGGAAAAGCCUCUAAGCAUCAGGUAACAUCAAAUCGUACCCCAAACCGACACAGGUGGUCAGGUAGAGAAUACCAAGGCGCUUGAGAGAACUCGGGUGAAGGAACUAGGCAAAAUGGUGCCGUAACUUCGGGAGAAGGCACGCUGACACGUAGGUGAAGUGAUUUACUCAUGGAGCUGAAGUCAGUCGAAGAUACCAGCUGGCUGCAACUGUUUAUUAAAAACACAGCACUGUGCAAACACGAAAGUGGACGUAUACGGUGUGACGCCUGCCCGGUGCCGGAAGGUUAAUUGAUGGGGUCAGCGCAAGCGAAGCUCCUGAUCGAAGCCCCGGUAAACGGCGGCCGUAACUAUAACGGUCCUAAGGUAGCGAAAUUCCUUGUCGGGUAAGUUCCGACCUGCACGAAUGGCGUAAUGAUGGCCAGGCUGUCUCCACCCGAGACUCAGUGAAAUUGAACUCGCUGUGAAGAUGCAGUGUACCCGCGGCAAGACGGAAAGACCCCGUGAACCUUUACUAUAGCUUGACACUGAACAUUGAGCCUUGAUGUGUAGGAUAGGUGGGAGGCUUUGAAGCGUGGACGCCAGUCUGCGUGGAGCCGACCUUGAAAUACCACCCUUUAAUGUUUGAUGUUCUAACGUGGACCCGUGAUCCGGGUUGCGGACAGUGUCUGGUGGGUAGUUUGACUGGGGCGGUCUCCUCCUAAAGAGUAACGGAGGAGCACGAAGGUUGGCUAAUCCUGGUCGGACAUCAGGAGGUUAGUGCAAUGGCAUAAGCCAGCUUGACUGCGAGCGUGACGGCGCGAGCAGGUGCGAAAGCAGGUCAUAGUGAUCCGGUGGUUCUGAAUGGAAGGGCCAUCGCUCAACGGAUAAAAGGUACUCCGGGGAUAACAGGCUGAUACCGCCCAAGAGUUCAUAUCGACGGCGGUGUUUGGCACCUCGAUGUCGGCUCAUCACAUCCUGGGGCUGAAGUAGGUCCCAAGGGUAUGGCUGUUCGCCAUUUAAAGUGGUACGCGAGCUGGGUUUAGAACGUCGUGAGACAGUUCGGUCCCUAUCUGCCGUGGGCGCUGGAGAACUGAGGGGGGCUGCUCCUAGUACGAGAGGACCGGAGUGGACGCAUCACUGGUGUUCGGGUUGUCAUGCCAAUGGCACUGCCCGGUAGCUAAAUGCGGAAGAGAUAAGUGCUGAAAGCAUCUAAGCACGAAACUUGCCCCGAGAUGAGUUCUCCCUGAGACUUAAAGUCUCCUGAAGGAACGUUGAAGACGACGACGUUGAUAGGCCGGGUGUGUAAGCGCAGCGAUGCGUUGAGCUAACCGGUACUAAUGAACCGUGAGGCUUAACCUU
rnacentral:rRNA from 1 species